CAGGUAAGGGGAAGGGAGUGUGUGUUAGAGCUGGGCUGUACUGGGACAGGUAAGGGGAAGGGAGUGUGUGUUAGAGCUGGGCUGGACUGGGACAGGUAAGGGGAAGGGAGUGUGUGUUAGAGCUGGGCUGUACUGGGACAGGUAAGGGGAAGGGAGUGUGUGUUAGAGCUGGGCUGGACUGGGACAGGUAAGGGGAAGGGAGUGUGUGUUAGAGCUGGGCUGUACUGGGACAGGUAAGGGGAAGAGAGUGAGUGUUAGAGCUGGGCUGUACUGGGACAGGUAAGGGGAAGGGAGUGUGUGUUAGAGCUGGGCUGAACUGGGACAGGUAAGGGGAAGGGAGUGUGUGUUAGAGCUGGGCUGUACUGGGACAGGUAAGGGGAAGAGAGUGAGUGUUAGAGCUGGGCUGUACUGGGACAGGUAAGGGGAAGGGAGUGUGUGUUAGAGCUGGGCUGAACUGGGACAGGUAAGGGGAAGGGAGUGUGUGUUAGAGCUGGGCUGUACUGGGACAGGUAAGGGGAAGAGAGUGAGUGUUAGAGCUGGGCUGUACUGGGACAGGUAAGGGGAAGGGAGUGUGUGUUAGAGCUGGGCUGAACUGGGACAGGUAAGGGGAAGGGAGUGUGUGUUAGAGCUGGGCUGUACUGGGACAGGUAAUGGGAAGAGAGUGAGUGUUAGAGCUGGGCUGUACUGGGACAGGUAAGGGGAAGGGAGUGUGUGUUAGAGCUGGGCUGAACUGGGACAGGUAAGGGGAAGGGAGUGUGUGUUAGAGCUGGGCUGUACUGGGACAGGUAAGGGGAAGAGAGUGAGUGUUAGAGCUGGGCUGUACUGGGACAGGUAAGGGGAAGGGAGUGUGUGUUAGAGCUGGGCUGAACUGGGACAGGUAAGGGGAAGAGAGUGUGUGUUAGAGCUGGGCUGUACUGGGACAGGUAAGGGGAAGAGAGUGAGUGUUAGAGCUGGGCUGUACUGGGACAGGUAAGGGGAAGGGAGUGUGUGUUAGAGCUGGGCUGAACUGGGACAGGUAAGGGGAAGGGAGUGUGUGUUAGAGCUGGGCUGUACUGGGACAGGUAAGGGGAAGGGAGUGUGUGUUAGAGCUGGGCUGGACUG